rnacentral:rRNA from 1 species
GGGCGGCGGGUUCCGACUUCCAUGGCCACCGUCCUGCUGUCUAUAGCAACCAACACCUUUCAUGGGGUCUCGUGAGCGUCUCCCCCUACCUGGUUGAACCUGCCAGUAGUCAUAUGCUUGUCUCAAAGAUUAAGCCAUGCAUGUCUAAGUACACGCCGAAACAUGGCGAAACCGCGAAUGGCUCAUUAAAUCAGUUAUGGUUCCUUAGAUCGUACCUCCCUACUUGGAUAACUGUGGCAAUUCCAGAGCUAAUACAUGCAGCAGAGCUCCGACCCCCCGGGGGACGAGCGCUUUUAUUAGACCAAGACCAGCGCGGGCCUCCUCCUCGGAGGGGUCCGGCGAAGCGUGGCGACUCUGUAUAACUUUGGGCUGAUCGCACGGGCCCGUCCCGGCGACGCAUCUUUCAAGUGUCUGCCUUAUCAACUGUCGAUGGUAGGUCACGCGCCUACCAUGGUCGUAACGGGUGACGGGGAAUCAGGGUUCGAUUCCGGAGAGGGAGCCUGAGAAACGGCUACCACAUCCAAGGAAGGCAGCAGGCGCGCAAAUUACCCACUCCCGGCCGUCC